CAUAAUGCAUCAAUGCAUCUGAAUUUGGAGAUGGAUUUGGAUAUUCUUGUGAUUGUUCUGGGAGAUUAUUGGAAUUGGGUCAUCCUCUCCAAUCAAGUAAAUUGCUGUCAUGUCUCGUCUAUCACAAAUCGUAUUUCAACUUGAACACGAAAGCUAGCAAACUUCUUCUAUAAAUAGCCCUAAUCACGCUUUUCGAUAAGCACAAACACAGAGAGAUUGGCUAACUAAUACGCUAAAGCAUGGCCAAGACUCUAAAGUCUCUUCCCUUUUUCGCACUACUCUUCAUCCUCAUCCUCGUUGCCAACUGGGAGAUGAUGCCGGUGGAAGCAAAACUUUGUGAGAGGGCAAGUCAAACAUGGUCAGGGAAAUGCGGGAACACGGCGCACUGCGACAACCAGUGUCAGAAAUGGGAGGAUGCUAGGCAUGGAGCUUGUCAUGUAAGAGACGGGAAAUGGAAAUGCUUCUGCUACUUCAAUUGUCCUCUCAAUAAACACAAUUAAUUGAUGCCCUUAUGAUUUCACAUCGCCCUUAACUUCUUGAUUAUGGUAAGUGUCUUAUAUUACUGCACCAUGCUAAAAUAAGAAGCAGCUAGCUUGCUUGCUAGCAGCUUUUGUUUCUAAUUGUAGUAAAUAAUAAAUUAACUGUUUCUCUGUUGAAACAUGGGCUAGUGUUGUUGCCGAUCCAAUAUUGUUCAUCAUCGAAGUGUUGUAAUAUGAUACAAAUAUUACCCUCUACGUCUUUGCUGUAGUACUCAUCACUCCUCUUUGAACCCAUUGAAUUACAUAAUCAUCGGUCAUUUUAUUGAUAAAUUAAUCUGAUCUCAACACCCAUUGAUGUGGACAAUUUAUCACAUUAAAUAUCAUGAAAUUUUACAGACAUGAGUGUAAGAUUUAUUUACAUAAACUUGAAUAAAUAAAUAAAUCAAUGAUAAUCCACAUGAUUUAUUCACAAGUUAUAAAAUAUUAAAUUAAAUAAUUUAGGGUUGUAAAAAUACUUGAAUCAUACCAUCUGAAUUUAUAAAGCUUUUGAAAUUUUCUAUCUAGAUUUUCUCUUGAUGUGUUUUGGUCUUAUAUUCCAAAAACUUUCUUGAAUGAGAAUUUUUAUUGUAUUAGUUUUUGGAGUAAAGAUUUAGUCAAAUUAUAAUAGGUUAAUUGACCCUCAUAAAGGUUUAAUAAAUCUUACCUCCACCUAAAUUAUAAUCUUUAAAUAUAUUAAACUUAUUUUUAUUGAUUAUUUAAAUUCAUUUAUAAAUUAAUAUUAAACUAUUUAAUUAUUUAGUUUUAUUAAAUCAAAACUAUAAUUAAUAUUAUCUCAUAUAAAAGAAUUUCUAACAAUGAGAACUCCACGAAGAAGAAGACAAUGGUAACAAAUAGUUGAGAACUUCUAUGUCCUGCUUAGAGCUCAAUCAGAGUUGUAAACGGAGGAGGGUUGAAGAUAAUCAUCGUUUUGCAAUUAGCACCAGCUGCUAUAUGGAUAUCGAAUCAUGUUGACAUUUCAUGUACAUGACUUAUUCAUUUUGCAUCGAUUAACCUUUUAAUCAUCAGGAAAUCCAUUAAUUAUAGUUAGUAUUCAUUGUCAAUUAAUGCAACCAUACUGCAAAUUUAUUGGUGGAGCUUCAUUUUGAAGAGGAAAAUAUAUUAAAUGGCAUGUAGUUUGCCUUUUUCUAAACCUGUGGGCCGGCAAUCUCAAUAGAACUUAAUUUCAAUCAGAUUUUUGGAGAUAUUUCAAGAGCACAUUAUAAAAUAAUCAUGGUGUUCCUGCUACUGUAGAAUGUGGAGCCCGAAGUCAACAAUUCAAGACAAUUGGCUGUCAUAUUUGACGUCUAUCAGUUUUUGUUACUUCCUUUCACCAACCUUAUCACCCUACCUUAAUACUUUUAAGUUUAGCAAGAACGAGAGCAAUUUUUGCUAUAAAUAGCCCUAACCACCUCCCUAUUUAGCACAAAAAGAUAAAGAGAUCACUGCCCAGUUAACAAGCAAAAUUAAGCAUGCCCAAGACUGUCCAGUUUUUUAUACUCUUCUUCGCGUAUCACCCACAGAUGUGUUUAGAAUAUAAAUUACUUUUGGUACUGUUCCAUCAAUUAUUAUCAUAAUUCUAUUUAAAAUAGUCACGAUCUACCCGAUGAUCAGUAUUAUAGUUAUUUGUUAUUAUCCUAGAGAGAGCAGUCAACAGAAUCAGAAAUGGAGCCAUCUGGAAGGGAUUCCUACGAUGGAAAAGUGUGGUUUCGACUUCAAACUUUUCGGCUAGGAUAAUAUUGAGAGAUGAGAUGGUGGCUAUGCAUAGACAAUUCAGCUUAGAUCAAGGUAUGAGAGAACUCUCUAAUAGUUAUAUAUAUAUAUAUAUAUAUAUAUAUAUAUAUAUAUAUAUAAUGUUAUUCAUUGUUUAUUUUUGAGAUUAUUGACACUCAUUGGGGGAUAUGAAUGUUGCUUUAUGUAUAUAACACUUUGGGUAUUGAUUGUGCAUGACUUCAUUAUUAAAGGCAUUUUGGUCAUUUUAAUUAAAUAUAAAUAUUAAUUAUCUUUCUAUUUUGUUUAUGCUCUAAAUGAGUAACACUUUCCUAUGGAGGGUAAGAUUGUUGGAGUGGGGUGUUAUACUCAUCCUCAUCCUUUUUGCAAACUGAGUCAGUUGUUUUGGAGGCACUAAAAUUAACCUUAUGUUACCAUCAAUUCUAAUAAAAACAAUGAGAAUCUUUGGGCAAAAAAUUAUUUGCAUUAAAACUGAAGAAUGCAUCAUUGUUGAAGAAAAAAUUUUAUAAGUUUUAAUAAUGUAUCAUUUUGAUGAUUACAUUUUAAAAGCUCGUAAAAUUGUUUCAAUGGUAUUGUUGUAAUUGAGAUGUCUUGAAAUAUAACACUUUAUUAUCUUUGACAAUAUGUAUUCAAAAAAUUAUUGUAUUUAAUUCAAUGAACAAUAAUUUUAUCUUAA